rnacentral:snRNA from 1 species
GGAUGUGAGGGAGAUCUGGCUGCGACAUCUGUCACUCCAUUGAUCGCCAGGGUUGAUUCGGCUGAUCUGGCUGGCUAGGCGGAUGUCCCCUUCCUCCCUCACUGCUCCAUGUGCGUCUCUCCCCAAGCUGCGCGCUCAGUCGAAGAGGACAACCAUCCCCAAUAAAGGAGGACCUUUCUUGGGUCAAGGGUAUAUGAGUAGCUGCGUUCCCCUGCUAGAACCUCCAAACAAGCUCUCAAAAUGUAGCAGGGUCUUUUCUCUAUUAUAUUUAGUUCAGUAGUAACUUUCAUUGAUAGUAUUCCUUC